rnacentral:tRNA from 1 species
GUCAGGAUAGCUCGUACUCAGUCAUCGUCGUG